GCAUUCAAUUUAUCUGCAGGCGUUCCAC
rnacentral:sRNA from 1 species